rnacentral:rRNA from 1 species
ACUCCUACGGGAGGCAGCAGUGGGGAAUAUUCCGCAAUGGACGAAAGUCUGACGGAGCAACGCCGCGUGAGUGAUGAAGGUUUUCGGACUGUAAAACUCUGUUGUUUAGGACGAAAGUGCCUGUUGCGAACAGUUACAGGUAUUGACGGUACUGAACGAGGAAGCCACGGCUAACUACGUGCCAGCAGCCGCGGUAAUACGUAGGUGGCAAGCGUUGUCCGGAAUUAUUGGGCGUAAAGAGCAUGUAGGUGGGCUGUUAAGUCUGUUGUGAAAAUGCGGGGCUCAACCCCGUAUUGCGAUGGAAACUGACAGUCUUGAGUGCAGGAGAGGAAAGGGGAAUUCCCAGUGUAGCGGUGAAAUGCGUAGAUAUUGGGAGGAACACCAGUGGCGAAGGCGCCUUUCUGGACUGUGUCUGACACUGAGAUGCGAAAGCUAGGGGAGCGAACGGGAUUAGAUACCCCGGUAGUCCUAGCCGUAAACGAUGGGUACUAGGUGUAGGGGGUAUCGACCCCCCCUGUGCCGGAGUUAACGCAAUAAGUACCCCGCCUGGGGAGUACGGCCGCAAGGUUGAAACUCAAAGGAAUUGACGG